GGGUAGGUGGCCGAGUGGUUAAAGGCGGCAGACUGUAAAUCUGCUCUCGAAUGAGUACGGGGGUUCAAAUCCCUCCCUGCCCACCA
rnacentral:tRNA from 1 species